CGGGUCCGGCCGCCGGCUUCGGCGAGCGUGACCACGCCGUGCACCGGCUGGUCGUCGGCGAUCGGCUCGCCGUGCUUGUCGGCGAACCCGUC
rnacentral:tRNA from 1 species